UGAUGACAAGGGCAAACUGCGUGAAAGCGCAGGACGCAAAGCUUCCGGUCUAAGGGAACCAUGUUCCUAGGAUAGCGGGGCCGCCAAG
rnacentral:ncRNA from 1 species